UGGAUCUUUUUGCGGUCUGGGCUUGCUGUUUCUCGCAAUAGUAGUCAGGAAGCCCUUACCCCAAAAAGUAUCUA
ensembl:miRNA